GUGCUCGCUUCGGCAGCACAUAGACUAAAAUUGGAACAAUACAGAGAGUAGCAUGACCCUGCGCAGGGAUGACACGCAAAUUCGUGAAGCCUUCCAUAUUUUA